CACGUAGGGCGCAAGCGUUGUCCGGAAUUAUUGGGCGUAAAGAGCGCGCAGGUGGUUGAUUAAGUCUGAUGUGAAAGCCCACGGCUUAACCGUGGAGGGUCAUUGGAAACUGGUCGACUUGAGUGCAGAAGAGGGAAGUGGAAUUCCAUGUGUAGCGGUGAAAUGCGUAGAGAUAUGGAGGAACACCAGUGGCGAAGGCGGCUUCCUGGUCUGUAACUGACACUGAGGCGCGAAAGCGUGGGGAGCAAACAGG
rnacentral:rRNA from 1 species